rnacentral:rRNA from 1 species
UACGUAGGUGGCAAGCGUUACUCGGAAUUACUAGGCGUAAAGCGCAGGUAGGCGGUUUGGAAAGUUUCUUGUGAAAGCUCCCGGCUUAACUGGGAGAGGCCAAGGAAAACUACCAGGCUAGAGUGUGGAAGAGGAGUGUGGAAUUCCCGGUGUAGCGGUGAAAUGCGCAGAUAUCGGGAAGAACACCCGUGGCGAAGGCGGCACUCUGGGACGGUACUGACGCUGAGACGCGAAAGCGUGGGGAGCGAACAGG